UACAUAGGUGUCAAGCGUUGUUCGGAUUCAUUGGGCGUAAAGGGUGUGUAGGCGGCGCGCUAAGUCGGGUGUGAAAUUUCGGAGCUUAACUCCGAAACUGCAUUCGAUACUGGCGUGCUUGAGGACUGGAGAGGAGACUGGAAUUCAUGGUGUAGCAGUGAAAUGCGUAGAGAUCAUGAGGAAGACCAGUGGCGAAGGCGGGUCUCUGGACAGUUCCUGACACUGAGACACGAAGGCCAGGGGAGCAAACGGG
rnacentral:rRNA from 1 species